GAAAGACGUUCGCGUCCACAGAACACAUCCUAACGCUCCUGAGUUGCUAACUCCAUCCCUAAUCAUCUCGUUGGUGGAACCAGCUGGAAAGGGAAAGAUCAGCGAGCCUCGGCGUGGGAUGAAGGCAGCGGUCUUGGCCUCAACCGCUGGCCUAGACACCUGGCUUCUGGGGCCUGCCCGAUCGAGCUGAACCCCCUCCCCUCCAGUCCUAAGGCCGGAAUCCCCAACUGCACCGCCCCUGCAAGACGGGCUAAGCGGCAGAUUCCAGGGAGACUCAGUUGGAAUGCCCCGCCUACAGCUCCCGCAUAAAGGAGUUGACGGUGCACAGCAAAACCACCUGUUAUUUAACGAGUAUGGGGGGAGGGGUUCUCCCUCAUUGAUUGAUCUGAACUGUGCUUUUCUUCUCCCCGUUUUCCUACCCGAUUUCAGGAUGAAAAAGCAAACUCUGACGUCUUGAAAGCUGGCAGCUCUCUGUAUGGAAAAUCUCUUCCCAGUGAAAAAAUGUACAGACAAGAUUACUAAGUAACACAGUCUUCUGGGAAUGCCUUAUCAAUGCCAGCUAUUUGAAGAGCACCCAAAGUCAAACUAGUGCUCCGCACUGGCAGUCUGGAAAAGACAGAUGUAUAGACUAGGACUGAGAAGUCACUGCUCUCGGCAAAUAAGUGAUUGGCAACCUGUGUAAGAGAAAUUAGCAGGAGAGGCAGAAACUGGGACAUGUGGAGAGCUGGACAGAAGUGCGUUAAGAAGUGAAUAGUCAGUGAAGAAACAGGACUGACCAGAAGGUUUGGUGUUAAAGGAAAGCAGAGAGAAUCUGUGAUGUCUUCGCAGACCUCAGGAAUGAGGGUGACAAAGACCACCAGGUGGGAACAGAGGAGAAGGAAAACAAACCAUAACAAAAGUUGCAGCUCCAGGGAAUGGAACCCUGCCCUCAACAGCACCGGAGUCUCUCCCUUCCAGUGAAGUCCUUUACCACUUUUUCAAAAAGCCAUUUUGAAAUGUGGAAGUGAAUGCUGAAGUACAUGAAGCCACAAUUAUUGCUGUGUUUAGGGGGGCAUGUCACUGCCCUGCAGACUGUUAGCAUAUAACUUCAUCAUCUCAAAGCACCUAGCAGUCCCUGAAAGGCUGCUAAUGCCUGGAGGCAGGCACUCACUUCAUUUCAGUCGACUUCCCAUUCCUGAACCACUUAAGAGAUGGGGGAAGCCUUUCUUGAAUGACUUACUGCAUUUUCAGAGAAUAUGGCCAGGGAACAAUUAAGUUACUUUCCUUCAUAAUCUGAUUCAGUCUAUAUAUAUUCCAUCAAAGUUCUGGCUAUCAGCUUUCUAAUGUGGUCCUGAAACUGUGUGUGUGUGCAUGUGUGUAAGAGAUGGACAGAGACUGCUUUCUAUCGAAAAGUUCAAAGUAUCAUGUACAUAUUUUAUCCAGUAAUUCAAUUUUUUCUCCUUUGACUAAUCCAUCUCAGAAUUGCCUGUCUUGCAGUUCUUUAGCUUUUGCUGACCUGGUUCACAAUUCAGUGUUAAUGUUAAACAGGAAAUGGAGAAACAGACACCAAGAAGAAAGGAGAGAGAUGAGGUGUUCUAUGAACAUCGUUCCCUGAGUAAUUCCAAGGAAAGAUGGGCCCACUUGUGAGAGAUCUACUGUCCCUCACAACCCAUGUAUUCUAGGAUCCACGCAGCUCUUUUCAGUCCUAGAAGUUUCAUCAGUUAUACCUGUUUCCCUGAGAGCUGAAUGUUCUGACUAAAGGCAAGUUUUGGGAGAGGAAGAGUAUUGAGCAAGUUCUCCUCAACAAUCAGACAGCUCCGUUUUAGGGACUGACAUCCUUCCAGUUCAGGAGGAAGUGUUUCCAGCUCUCUUACAGCCACAAUGUGGGCAUUCAUUAGCUGUGCCAAUCAGCUGCUCAGACUCGGACUUUGAAUUGGGGCUAACAUCACAAAGAAGUCGAAGCCACGAAGAAUCUAUUCUGUGGGAGGCCCAGGGUCACAAGAGCAGCAACAUCAAGUUUUCAGGAACAGAACCAGUGCUCUGAGCUGAUAUACUCUAUAAAUGAUGUCCUUCUGCUCCACGUGCAUGCGGAAUCUUCUCACUUUUUCAAAGAUGGCUUUGGCCUGUUCACCCUCCUUCUUGUCCAGGACACUGGAAGUUG